rnacentral:rRNA from 1 species
UACGUAGGGGGCAAGCGUUGUCCGGAUUUAUUGGGCGUAAAGAGCGUGUAGGCGGCCAGACAGGUCAGCUGUGAAAACUCGAGGCUCAACCUCGAGACGUCGGUUGAAACCGUCUGGCUAGAGUCCGGAAGAGGAGAGUGGAAUUCCCGGUGUAGCGGUGAAAUGCGCAGAUAUCGGGAAGAACACCCGUGGCGAAGGCGGCUCUCUGGAACGGUACUGACGCUGAGACGCGAAAGCGUGGGGAGCGAACAGG